CUGGGGUUGUAGUUGUGAUCAUUGGGCUGUCUGCCUACAGGGUAUAUGCUAGCAUUUAAUCCCCACUGCUAGUUGUGAUAUGAUCCAUUUUUUGCUUUGGAUCUGCCUCGUUUUGUCGCAUUCCAUAAAAUGAUCAUGUAAGAUGGAUAACAGUGGAUAUAACACAUACAUCAUGCUAUGGCCCAUGAAACUAUGCCACUUAAACACACUUCCACCAAUCCAUGUCUUGCAGUGAUUCUCAACUAUUAUAGAGAUUUGACAGUUGGCAAUAUCCAAUCACAAGUAAAAUGUAAUGCUGUGAGUUUUACACAAGUGUUUGAUCCAUGUUUUAUCUUCCCUAUGCAUUUAUAAAAUAGAACUAAUUAACAUAAGUUUAAAUAAAAUUCAAUAAAUUUCUUUAGAACAACAGCCUGUAUGGUAGAAGAGGUAACACCUUUACCUGUUUUCUCUGAGCAGUAGCCCCUUUGGAGCCCACUUUCACGUCGACCCAAGGGUCUUAGCGUGGAACUACCAAAUCUGCCCGUUGAGUUUAAAAGAGAAACGCAGUGUUGUUUAUUUUUAUUUGGCAGUCUUAUUUAAUGGUUAUACCUAUGAAGGCACUUAAUUUAAUGGAUUUAAUAUUGAAUUUGGUAUGCUUAUAGGAGUUGAGGCUAGGGGUUUUAUAUUCGGCCUUCCAAUUGUGUUAGUAAUUGGUGCAAAGUUUGUUCCAUUAAGAAAAUCAAGAAAAAUGUCAGGAAGCUUUGUCGGGCUCACGUUGUAUUUCAACUAACUUGUCGAAGUAGCUAAGGAACAUAGUGAUGGAUAAGAGUUGGAUUCAUUUGUCAAGGUAAGCAAUGCAUACUUAAGUGGAGCUACGGAAUUCCUAGACUUUGCAUUUACAAAUACAAGUAAUAGAAGGAGGAUCCUAUGUCUAUGUAAGAAUACAAUAACAACUUCUGGG